AUCACUGCAGGAGAGAUUCGGGAAUGACUGGAGGAGAGGUUAGGGAUUCACUGGAGGAGGGGUUAGGGAAUCACUGGAAGAGAAUUUAGUGAGUCACAGCUCUAUCACCAUAUGUCCUUUUCUCUUCAGAUCUCAAUGAGUGCCAGAAGACACCACAGGUUUGUGGCAGCAACGCUUCUUGCCUCAACACCAUCGGGAGCUACAAAUGCCAGUGUCAACCUGGGUUCAGAUCCACAACGCCUGUCAACUAUACUGCUCUCAUUGGGGAGUGUAAGGACAUGGAUGAGUGUAAGAAGCAGACUGCUGAUUGCCCCAACAACUUACCAUGUGUGAACACCCCAGGGUCCUACGUCUGCAUCUGCCAGUCUGGGUACAAACUAACAGAGAGCAGGUGUGAGGACAUAGAUGAGUGUAAUGUAACUGCUGGUAUCUGUGGAGAGGGAGGGACCUGUCAGAACCAGGAAGGAAGCUACAGUUGCCUCUGUCUACCUGGAUACAGUAAUUAUGGCAACAAACAGGCGAGGUGCUCAGGUGAGGACAGAAUCUGGUACCAUGAUGCACUGCUUCCCACGAUAUGGUACAGUAAGUUACGAAGAGGAACUAGAACAGGAACUAGAACAGGGUUCCUAUAUGAACAGUCUUUAAUUACGGCUAUAUCUAACAUAACAUUACAUACAUCUAUAUCUAACUUAACAUAACAUACAUACAUCUAUAUCUAACAUAACAUACAUCUAUAUCUAACAUAACAUACAUAUA